UACACGUGGGCACUGCUGUAGACUGGGAUAACUUCGGGAAACCGAAGCUAAUACCGGAUAGGAUCUUCUCCUUCAUGGGAGAUGAUUGAAAGAUGGUUUCGGCUAUCACUUACAGAUGGGCCCGCGGUGCAUUAGCUAGUUGGUGAGGUAACGGCUCACCAAGGCAACGAUGCAUAGCCGACCUGAGAGGGUGAUCGGCCACACUGGGACUGAGACACGGCCCAGACUCCUACGGGAGGCAGCAGUAGGGAAUCUUCCGCAAUGGACGAAAGUCUGACGGAGCAACGCCGCGUGAGUGAUGAAGGCUUUCGGGUCGUAAAACUCUGUUGUUAGGGAAGAACAAGUACAAGAGUAACUGCUUGUACCUUGACGGUACCUAACCAGAAAGCCACGGCUAACUACGUGCCAGCAGCCGCGGUAAUACGUAGGUGGCAAGCGUUAUCCGGAAUUAUUGGGCGUAAAGCGCGCGCAGCGGUUUCUUAAGUCUGAUGUGAAAGCCCACGGCUCAACCGUGGAGGGUCAUUGGAAACUGGGGAACUUGAGUGCAGAAGAGAAAAGCGGAAUUCCACGUGUAGCGGUGAAAUGCGUAGAGAUGUGGAGACACAGUGCGAAGCGCUUUUUGGUCUGUAACUGACGCUGAGGCGCGAAAGCGUGGGGAGCAAACAGGAUUAGAUACCUGGUAGUCCACGCCGUAAACG
rnacentral:rRNA from 1 species